UAAGCAUAUCAAUAAGCGGAGGAAAAGAAACCAACAGGGAUUGCCCUAGUAACGGCGAGUGAAGCGGCAACAGCUCAAAUUUGAAAUCUGGCUCUCGGGCCCGAGUUGAAAUUUGUAGAGGAUGCUUUUGGUGCGGUGCCUUCUGAGUUCCCUGGAACGGGACGCCAUAGAGGGUGAGAGCCCCGUAUAGUUGGACACCAAGCCUGUGUAAAGCUCCUUCGACGAGUCGAGUAGUUUGGGAAUGCUGCUCAAAAUGGGAGGUAAAUUCCUUCUAAAGCUAAAUAUUGGCCAGAGACCGAUAGCGCACAAGUAGAGUGAUCGAAAGAUGAAAAGCACUUUGAAAAGAGGGUUAAAUAGCACGUGAAAUUGUUGAAAGGGAAGCGCCUAUGACCAGACUUGCGCCCGGCGGAUCAUCCAGCCUUCUGGCUGGUGCACUCCGCCGGGCUCAGGCCAGCAUCGGUUUUCCGAGGGGGAUAAAAGCCCCAGGAACGUAGCUCCCUCGGGAGUGUUAUAGCCUGGAGCAGAAUACCCUUCGGGGGACCGAGGACCGCGCGUAAGCAAGGAUGCUGGCGUAAUGGUCAUCGGCGACCCGUCUUGAAACACGGACCAAGGAGUCAAGCAUUAGGGCGAGUGUUUGGGUGUUAAACCCGCACGCGAAAUGAAAGUGAACGCAGGUGAGAGCUUCGGCGCAUCAUCGACCGAUCCUGAUGUAUUCGGAUGGGAUUUGAGUAAGAGCCUUACCGCUUGGACCCGAAAGAUGGUGAACUAUGCUUGGAUAGGGUGAAGCCAGAGGAAACUCUGGUGGAGGCUCGCAGCGGUUCUGACGUGCAAAUCGAUCGUCAAAUCUGAGCAUGGGGGCGAAAGACUAAUCGAACCAUCUAGUAGCUGGUUACCGCCGAAGUUUCCCUCAGGAUAGCAGUGUUGUUUUCAGUUUUAUGAGGUAAAGCGAAUGAUUAGGGACUCGGGGGCGCUAUUUAGCCUUCAUCCAUUCUCAAACUUUAAAUAUGUAAGAAGCCCUUGUUACUUAAUUGAACGUGGGCAUUCGAAUGUAUCAACACUAGUGGGCCAUUUUUGGUAAGCAGAACUGGCGAUGCGGGAUGAACCGAACGCGAGGUUAAGGUGCCGGAGUAGACGCUCAUCAGACACCACAAAAGGCGUUAGUACAUCUUGACAGCAGGACGGUGGCCAUGGAAGUCGGAAUCCGCUAAGGACUGUGUAACAACUCACCUGCCGAAUGUACUAGCCCUGAAAAUGGAUGGCGCUCAAGCGUCUCACCCAUACCUCGCCCUCAGGGUAGAAACGAUGCCCUGAGGAGUAGGCGGCCGUGGAGGUCAGUGACGAAGCCUAGGGCGGAGCCC
rnacentral:rRNA from 1 species